rnacentral:lncRNA from 1 species
CAUUAAUAAAACAAGCAAAAACAAACAAUAACAUCAAAUACCUCAGCUCUACAACUCCUAGCAACCCCCCCAUUUCUUUCCUCUCCUUCACAGCAGGUUUCUGCAUAUAUAUAAUGAUUUUUAUUCUUUCCAUUAUAGCUGGUUUACAGUGUUCUGUCCAUUUUCUACCGCACAGCAAGUUGACCUAGUCACACAUACAUGUAUACAUUCUUUUUUCUCACAUUAUCAUGCUCCAUCACAAGUGACUAAAUGUAGUUACCAGUGCUAUACAGCAGGAUCCCAUUGCUUAUCCAUUCCAAAGGCAAUAGUUUGCAUCUAUCAACCCCAAAUUCCUAGUCCCUCCCCCUCCCUCUUGGCAACCACAAGUCUGUUCUCCAAGUCCAUGAGUUUCUUUUCUGUGGAAAGGUUCAUUUGUGCCUUAUAUUAGAUUCCAGAUAUAAGUGAAUUCAUAUAUGGUAUCUGUCUUUCUGACUUACAUCAUUUAGUAUGAGAGUUUCUAGUUCCAUCCAUGUUGCUGCAAAUGGCAUUAUUUUAUUCUUUUUUAUGGCUGAGUAAUAUUCCAUUGUGUAUAUAUAUCACAUCUUCUGAAUCCAGUCAUCUGUCGAUGGGCAUUUGGGUUGUUUCCAUGUCUUGGCUAUUGUGAAUAGUGCUGCAAUGAACAUGGGGGUGCAUGUGAGAAGACCUUCACUUAUGAUCUCUUCAGUUCCUCAUCACAUAUUAACGACACCUUCCAUGGAAACCUGGCAUUAGUGGCACCACCUUUCCACUAGCCUGGGGUCAGCAAACUUUUUUUGUAAUGUCCUAAAUAGUAAAUAUUUUAGGUUUGGCCAGCCAUGUAUGAGGCUAGCCUCAACUCGGUCAUUAGAGCAUAAAAGCGGACAUAGACAAUACAAAAACAAGUGACAUUAGCUCUGUAUUCCAACAAAACUGUUUUUGGACACAGAAAUCUGAAUUUAAUACAAUGUUCAUCGAUAGAAAACUUCUGGUUGUUUCUAACCAUUUAAAAUUACAGGGGUAAUUUAACCCACCCUAGCACAGUGGGUUAAGAAUCUGACUGCAAUGGUCUGGGUUGCUGUGGAGGCCUGGGUUAAAGGAUCUGGCAUUGCCACAGCUGCAGCUCGG